GCGCUGUGGCGGUGGGGGGGGCGCAUUGGCCGAUAAGCGAUGGUUGCGUGUGUGUUACUGCUGGUGUCUCUGUUCGUCUGGCUCCCUGCUCCCGCCCUCAGCCAGGACGCAGUGAGCGCCCACCGCCGCUUCGAGUACAAGCACAGCUUCAAAGGACCGCACCUGGUCCUGCAGGACGGUGCCAUUCCUUUUUGGACACAUUACGGCAAUGCCCUUCCCAGUUCUGAACGAGUUCGAAUUGUUCCUUCAAUGAAAAGCCAAAGUGGAUCAGUUUGGACCAAGACUAGUGCAGCAUUUGAAAACUGGGAGAUAGAAGUUUCGUUUAGGAUAAGUGGCAGAAGCAGAAUUGGAGCAGAUGGAUUGGCUAUAUGGUAUACCAGAGAAAGGGGGCCGACAGGGCCAGUUUACGGAGCAGUUGAUCACUGGGACGGAGUUGGCAUCUUCCUUGACACGUAUGACAAUGACGACAGGUUGAACAAUCCAGCAAUCCUUGUGGUAGGAAAUGACGGACAUCUUACAUAUGAUCACUUGAAUGACGGAGGAAGCCAGACCUUGGGCUCAUGUUUCCGAGAUUAUCGCAACAGUUAUCAUGCAGUGAGAAUCAGGAUAAGGUAUUACCAGAAAACAUUACAGGUACACUUAAAUUUGGCGCUGGCCGACGUUGCUGAGAACUACGAGUUGUGCACAGAAGUGAAGAACAUGAACCUUCCUUCAAGUGGAUACUUUGGCGUUUCAGCAGCUACGGGAGCAGUUGCUGAUGACCAUGAUGUUCUGUCCUUUCUCACGUUCAGCUUGACAGAGCCUGGAGCAAUGGAUCCUUCAAGCCAGGUCCCCAGUAAAGAACAAGAGGAGUACCAAAAGGAGUAUGAGCGCUUCGAUAAAGACUUGGAGAAACGUAAAGAAGAAUUUCUGAAAGAACACCCAGAGCUGCAGACACCAGAUGAUGAGGCGUUCGAGACGGAGGCUCAGAGGGAGUUACAGAUGGUUGCUGGUGGGCAAUGGAUGAUCCACGAUGAGUUGAAGAAGCUUCGAGAGAAAUUAGACACAGUGUUUGAGGAGCAGGGGCAAAACUUCGAGCACCUGAGCAGGAUGGGCAAGGACAAACCUACCACCACUGCACGGGGACAGCCAGACCAGGACGCUGAAGGCUCCCAGAGACUGGUGUUGCUGCUUAACGGUCAGAAGGAGAUGGUUCAACAGGUGCAAGAUAUAAGAGCAACUGUUGCAGGUGUGCUCUCCAAGUUGAGAGAAAGUCAGCAGUCAUUAAAUGCCAUCAGUACAGACAAAAGCCAUGUCAGAGAGAUCCAGGAGCACAUUCAUGUAGUGAAAAAGGAUAUUGAUAGCUUAACCAAUACCAAGGUUGAACAAGUCAGCUGCCCGAAGGUCCCACCUAUUCCAUCAUGUACUUCGGCUUGGCAUUUCUUAGUAUUCAUUGUCCUCCAGUCUGUAUUCUUUCUCUCUUACUUGAUACACAGCCCGGAGAGCAUUUCAUGUUACUCAGCUAGACUUCGCCAGUUCGCUGAGCCUCCUUUGACCUCAUUUCCUUAAGCCCAUGACCUCUGCCACCCAGAACAUAGAGAGUAGCAGGGCUAUGGGAACACAGCCAUGUUUUCCUCCAAGCCACGCACCAUCCUCGCUUGGAACUAUAUUGUCGUUUCUUUACAUUCACUGGGUGAAAAUCCCCAAACUCCCUUCUAAACAGCACUGUGGGCCUACCUACAUCUCUGAUAUUGUAGUGGUUGAAGAAGAUGACUCACCACUGUCUUCUCAAGGAAUAGAAGAGAAAUCAAUUCCAAGAAAUUUUUCUGAGGGGUUGCUGUGGAAUCAUGAAAAUAGUGAAUAUAGAUUUUUUUUGAGCGGCGUUUGUGAAUGAGUUUCUAAAGCAAUUGUGUGCUGUAUGGCUGCCUUAUACACGAAGUUUACAUGACAUUCUAAGUAGGGAACACCAAAUGGUCAGUAGCUGUGGCCACUGUCAUUGUAUAUUACUUCCAUAGUGGAAAUUAUUUUUUUAAAAUAAUCUGUAAUUUGAAGGCUGACAUUUACAUGAAAUUACACUUGAAGGUAUUUUCUAGUCUGUCAUAAUUCUAACGUAACAAUUGUUUGGAUUUGUAUGAAAUUUACUCAGUGAUUAUAUACUAAAACAGUGUUUGUUUGACCGAGAUGAUAACAAGGUUUAGAGCUGGAUGAACACAGCAGUCCACGCAGCAUCAGAGCAGCAGGAAAGCUGACAUUUCAGACCGAGACCAUUCUUCAGAAAAUCUGCUUUGAUAAUUUUGUUUGACUGUUCGACUGCUCCUUUUUGCGUUAACUGAAGUGAUGGUAUCAACAUAUGUCCUAAUUUAUUUCAAACAAUCCUCUUAAAAAUAAUACAUUGUAACACCUCGAACAAUGAAAUAAAUGUCAUAAGCAGCCCUUA